ensembl:lncRNA
AUGAUGCCCUCUCAUCAGAUCUUCUGCAGAAAAUUCUUGUGCAUAGCAAUGGCUUUCUGGGUCUUUCUGCUUGAGGGAUGCCUCAGGAACAACCUUCUACCAAUGAAAAACAAGUUGGUGGACAGAUAUCCCAGGACAAUUCUGAAGUGUGUUCUACACAGCCAUUCAGAGGGUCUCUGUGAGGUUGAGUUCCACUUGCUCAUAGAGGUAACUCACUAAUUCAGUAUAUUGUGUUGGCCUUUCUCCCUUUCCUGUUUGACUUUUUCUGUCCUUUACUGUGCUAUCUAGGACCACCUCUCAAAGAAGUGACUUGAUCCAAUUCAUUUUCUCAGGGACUGGGGCAAUCCCAAGCCCAGACAACUAGACUCUGGGGAUAAAAUUGUUACCGGUGGAGGGUGCCCAGGUUCUUGGCAUCUUGAACAAAGAAUUGGACAACACUCACAAGAAAAGUAAGGAAAGAAUGAAGCAACAAAAGCAGAGAUUUAUUGAAAAUGAAAGUAUGCUCCACAGGGUAGGAGCGCGCCAGAGCAUAGGGGCUCAAGAGCCCCAUUACAGAAUUUUUUUGGUUUAAAUACCCUCUAGAGGUUUCCACUGGUUACUUGGUGUACGCCUUAUGUAAACGAAGAGGAGGAUGUAAAAUUACAAAGUCAUUUACUUGGUGUAUGCCCUAUGUAAGUGGAGGGGAUGUUACCUGUCAUAGCUGAAGUGUUUCCAUUUGAAUUACUUCUAGGAAGUCCUUAGGUUCCCUGCCUCCAGGCCCUAUUCUCCUGCCUCAAAAUGGUGAGCAUUCAUACUUUACCAUAUUGCAUGGAAAUAUCAAUAGUAAUGUAAGCUGCAUAAGGACAGAGAUAUUUGUGUUUUAUUCAUUGAUGUGUUGCCAACAUCUAGAACAGUGUUUGAAAUAUAGUGUUGAAUGAAUAGUAGCAAUAGCUAAUAUUUAUUGAGGGCUUACGAUGUGUUUGAUGUCAUUUUUCAGAGAUAAUUUAAUCCUCAAAAACCUUAUGAAAAUAGAUAUUAGUACUAUUAGUGGUAAUUAUUCCUCUUUGGAUAUAGGAGAAUUAAGGUUAAACAAUAGGUCUAAAUCACCCAGCUUGUAAGUGAUCGCCGGAGCUCAGAAAUUAAUACCCCAAAAUAUGGGGCUUUGACUUGCUGAAUUGAAGAAGCCUCAAGAUCUCUCUGACCUCCCACCUCCACCGUCUCUCCCAAAGCACAGGAUGAAGUUGGAGUUCCUUUAUCUGCCUAAGAUCCAGACCUACCAAGAGCAAUUGUUUUUAAUUCUCCUCCUUUUAAGACCAAAAAUGUAACCACAGCUGAAUAGACCCUUUCACGAAGCAACGUUUCUGCCUCUUUCAUUCAAAUUCCAAAGAGAAUGAUUUACAAGUUAAUCUCUGUUCCCAUUCGCUGAUCUAUUCAUUUUUCCUCUUCUCCCCUCCAAAAAUCUAUUUUUCCACCAUAAUCUGUUUUGCUAAGAUGAUAUAUAACUUUCUGAACCCUACUGGGAGAGUAGGUAAUCACUGUGUGAUUACACGUUAAUAAAAUGUGUAUGCUUUUUCUCCAAUUAAUUUGUCUUUUGUGAAUUGAUAUUUCAGGGAACCUUAGGAGAGCAAAGAAGUAUUUCCCUUGGCUCCUAGAAUAACAUUUAAAAAUAAUCUCUAGGCUGGGCGCGGUGGCUCAAGCCUGCAGUCCCAGCACUUUGGGAGGCCGACACGGGUGGAUCACGAGGUCAGGAGAUCAAGACCAUCCUGGCUAACACGGUGAAACCCCGUCUCUACUAAAAAAUACAAAAAACUAGCCAGGCGAGGUGGCGGGCGCCUGUAGUCCCAGCUACUCAGGGAGGCUGAGGCAGGAGAAUGGCGUAAACCCGGGAGGCGGAGCUUGCAGUGAGCUGAGAUCUCACCACUGCACUCCAGCCUGGGUGACAGAGCGAGACUCCAUCUCAAAAUAAAAUAAAAUAAAAUAAAAUAACAAAAAUAAUAAAAUAAAAAUAAUCUCUAAAUAUUUUCAUAAUUAAGCGGGGUGCAGUGGCUCACGC